UGGGGGAUAUUGCACAAUGGGCGAAAGCCUGAUGCAGCGACGCCGCGUGGGGGAUGAAGGCCUUCGGGUUGUAAACUUCUUUUGCUCUGAACAAGGCAUGCCUUUGGGGUGUGUUGAGUGUAGGGGUUGAUUAGCGCCGGCUAACUACGUGCCAGCAGCCGCGGUAAUACGUAUGGGGCAAGCGUUGUCCGGAAUUAUUGGGCGUAAAGGGUACGCAGGCGGUUUAAUAAGUCCUAAUUAAAAGGCUAUGGCUCAACCAUAGUAUGGUUAGGAAACUGUUGAACUUGAGUAGAUGAGGGGAAAGUGGAAUUCCAUGUGUAGCGGUGAAAUGCGUAGAUAUAUGGAGGAACACCAAUGGCGAAGGCAACUUUCUGGAAUCAAACUGACGCUGAGGUACGAAGGCGUGGGGAGCAAACAGG
rnacentral:rRNA from 1 species